rnacentral:rRNA from 1 species
UACGUAGGGUCCAAGCGUUAAUCGGAAUUACUGGGCGUAAAGCGUGCGCAGGUGGUUCGUUAAGAGUGGUGUGAAAUCCCCGGGCUCAACCUGGGAAUGGCAUUGCUAACUGGCGGACUAGAGUACGGGAGAGGGGGGUGGAAUUCCACGUGUAGCAGUGAAAUGCGUAGAGAUGUGGAGGAACACCGAUGGCGAAGGCAGCCCCCUGGCCUGCUACUGACACUCAUGCACGAAAGCGUGGGGAGCAAACAGG